GGGAGUAUAGCUCAGAUGGUAGAGCACUGCUUUUGCACAGCAGAUGACAUCGGUUCGAAUCCGUUUACUUCCA
rnacentral:tRNA from 1 species